GGAGCCCAGAGGGCAGGGGGAGGGGUUAGACAGAGCCCAGAGUGCAGGGGGAGGGGUUAGACAGAGCCCAGAGUGCAGGGGGAGGGGUGAAAUGGAGUCCCAGGGGCAGGGGGACAGGUUAGACGGAGCCCAGAGGAGACGCUUCUAUAAAAUCUUGCUUGCUUUUCAACAUUACCAACCCUGUCU